CAGAGUUCGUGCCCUCACGGGUAGAUCUCCCACCCUUGUGUAUUCUCUACAUCUUGUUGCUUUGGCAGGCCGUUGGUUCGCCAACCACCGGCUCGCGGGCUGGUGCGUGCCUGCCAGAGGACCUCUCAAACUCGGUUUGUCAGUGUCGUCUGAGUACUUAUUAACAAUAGUAA
rnacentral:misc_RNA from 1 species